GCCUCUGUGGCGCAAUGGUAGCGCGUCGCCCUCCUAUCUCUCCACGGGACAGGCGAAGGUUUAGGGUUCGAGCCCCUACUGAGGUU